rnacentral:rRNA from 1 species
CGAGCGGGGCUUGGGUGAGGCGUGGUCAAGUUGGCUGCGUCGAACCCAAGCUCCGUGAGGGGGGAGAAGUCGUAACAAGGUGGCCGUAGGGGAACCUGCGGCCGGAUCACCUCCUAAGC